AACGAACGCUGGCGGCAGGCCUAACACAUGCAAGUCGAGCGAGGUAGCAAUACCUAGCGGCGGACGGGUUAGUAACGCGUGGGAACGUGCCCAAAGGUACGGAAUAGCCUCGGGAAACUGAGAGUAAUACCGUAUGUGCCCUUCGGGGAAAGAUUUAUCGCCUUUGGAUCGGCCCGCGUUGGAUUAGGUAGUUGGUGGGGUAAUGGCCUACCAAGCCGACGAUCCAUAGCUGGUUUGAGAGGAUGAUCAGCAACACUGGGACUGAGACACGGCCCAGACUCCUACGGGAGGCAGCAGUGGGGAAUCUUAGACAAUGGGGGAAACCCUGAUCUAGCCAUGCCGCGUGAGCGAUGAAGGCCUUAGGGUUGUAAAGCUCUUUCAGCUGGGAAGAUAAUGACGGUACCAGCAGAAGAAGCCCCGGCUAAACUCCGUG
rnacentral:rRNA from 1 species